UCCGUAGGCGGUGUGGCAAGUCGGUAGUGAAAUCUCUCGGCUUAACUGAGAGGCUGCUGCCGAAACUGCCAUGCUCGAGUGCGAGAGAGGCGAGUGGAAUUGCGGGUGUAGCGGUGAAAUGCGUAGAUAUCCGCAGGAACAUCCGAGGCGAAAGCGGCUCGCUGGAUCGCAACUGACGCUGAGGGACGAAAGCUAGGGGAGCAAACAGGAUUAGAUACCCUGGUAGUCCUAGCCCUAAACCAUCAGGACUUGGGGUUUGCCCUGUACGGGGCAAGUCCCGGAGCUAACGUGUUAAGUCCUGCGCCUGGGGAGUACGGUCGCAAGGCUGAA
rnacentral:rRNA from 1 species